rnacentral:tRNA from 1 species
AGCCCCGUGGUGUAGUUUACAUAUUAGAUUGCAAAUCUAGGGACGCAGAUUGACGUCUGCCGGGGCUU